GGGCUGCAGUAUUUUGACUGUACAAAGGUAGCAUAAUCAUUAGUCUCUUAAUUGGUGACUUGUAUGAAAGAUUGGAUGAAAUAUAUACUGUCUCUAUUUAAUUUAUAAAAUUUAAUUUUUUAGUAAAAAAGCUAAAAUGAAUUUAAAAGACGAGAAGACCCUAUAGAGUUUAAUAAUUUAUUUAAUUAUUAUUAAUGUAUAAAUUUUAAAAUUAAAAUUGAAUAAAUUAUUUUGUUGGGGUGAUAGAAAAAUUAAAUUAACUUUUUUUUUAUUUUAUACCUUAAUUUAUGAAUAAAUGAUCCAUUAAUAAUGAUUAAAAGAAAAAAUUACCUUAGGGAUAACAGCGUAAUUUUUUUUUUUAGUUCAAAUAGGAAAAAAAGUUUGCGACCUCGAUGUUGGAUUAAGAUAAAAAUUAAAUGCAAAAGUUAAAA
rnacentral:rRNA from 1 species